rnacentral:rRNA from 1 species
CCCUUAGAUGUUCUGGGCCGCACGCGCGCUACACUGAUGCAUUCAACGAGUCUACAACCUGGUCUGAUAGGGCUGGGUAAUCUUUUGAAAGUGCAUCGUGAUAGGGAUAGACUAUUGCAAUUAUUGGUCUUCAACGAGGAAUUCCUAGUAGACGUAGUUCAUCAGACUGCAUCGAUUACGUCCCUGCCCUUUGUACACACCGCCCGUCGCUCCUACCGAUUGAAUGCUCAGGUGAGCCAUUCGGACUUUCAUCAUGCUGGUUUCCAGUUUUGAUGAAGGAAAGUCUUGCGAACCUUAUCAUUUAGAGGAAGGAGAAGUCGUAACA